rnacentral:rRNA from 1 species
AACGAACGCUGGCGGCAUGCCUAACACAUGCCAGUCGAACGAGACCUUCGGGUCUGGUGGCGCACGGGUGCGUAACGCGUGGGAACCUGCCCUUAGGUUCGGAAUAACUCCCCGAAAGGGGUGCUAAUACCGGCUAAUGUCUUCGGACCGAAGAGUUAUCGCCUUUGGAUGGGCCUGAGUUGGAUUGGCUAGUUGGUAGGGUAAAAGGCUAUCAAGGCGAGGAUACAUAGCUGGUCUGAGAGGAUGAUCAGCCACACUGGUACUGAGACACGGCCCAGAAUCCUACGCGAGGCAGCAGUGGGGAAUAUUGGACAGUGGGCGAAAGGCUGAUCCAGCUAGGCCUCGUGAGUGAUGAAGGCCUUAGGGUUGUAAAGCUCGUUUACCCGGUAUGAUAAUGACAGUACCGGGAGAAUAAGCACCGGCUAACUCCGUG